AGGCGAAUAAGUUCAAUUGAGAAUUUGCGACUAAAAAUCAUAAAUAAAUAUUUGUGUGUGUGCAUUAAAAAUAAUUUAAAAUGGACAAUUAGCCAGAACGAAUAAACUAAGCGUCAAAUAGGCACGCAGCCUGGUGCUUGCAGCCAACGACGCGACUUCCGCUGUUCAAUAAUUGAGGAGAGCGUCGCCAUGGUGAAGAUAUUGCAGGCCUACAACUUUGCCAGGCAGCAGACGUUUGCUCUCAAUGGCGACAUUCUGGCAGCCACCCUAAUUGGCAACAAUCGCAUCGCCAUCAGCAGCGCCGAGCAGUUCAUUGAGAUCUAUGACAUAGCCGGAAAGCAACAGCAGCAGCAGCAGCAGCAGCCACAAUUGGAGCAGCAGGACAAUGCAAUGCAGGAGGAUCAGACAGCGGCUGGUGGCACGGGAGAUGCAGCUUCGCCAACGCCGACGCCAGCGAUUGAUGAACGCAUGCCCGUCAGGUACACAUUGGCCACGGUCGGCGAGGUGGUGCAGCUAAUCUAUUGCGAGGCUGGCAAAUACCUUCUGACCCUGGAAAAGGAGCAGGCCGGCAGUCCGGUGCACUCGAAUAGCACCAGCAUAAGCUGCACAUCGAGCAGCAAUAGCAACACAGUUUGCUCCGAGGAUGAUACAAAGAUGUUUGUGCGUAUCUAUGCAAACUUUUGGAAGUUUCCCGAUGCCAAGCUGAACGAGCUGCCGAUCACAAUACGCAUCGCCUCGAUGACAACGCCUAAGACGCCGCUGGUGGAGAGCAUUGAUGUGAUUGAGCUGCCGCUGCGCAGUCCGCCAGACCUGGUGCAAAGCUGCCAGACGUCGGGCAACAUCAUUGUGAGCAGCAGGGAUCGCAUCUAUCUGUAUGAGUACACGCAGUGCGUGCACGAGAAUACCCAGCCGAGAUUCUCCUUCAUCGAUUUUCUGCCCUUCAAAUUCUUUGUGCAGCUCAACUUUGUGCCGCUGCGCCUAUGUCUGGCCGAGAACGUCAUCGCCUGCCUCAGUCAUCGCUAUUGUGUGGCCUUCAAGGUGGUGGACGCGCUGGCUAACAAGACGACGACAGCGUCUGCGCCGGCGCACGAGCACAGCUGCCUGGACAACGAUUACGCGGGCGAUGAGCCCCUGUCCGAGUCUCUGAGCUUGGGUAGCAAAGCGAGCGCAGCGGCGGCCAGCAGCACGCAUAGCCAGCAGAGCUGCGAAAGCGACUCACUGCAAUCCUCGAGCAGCGCCAAGCCAGCAUUGGUAAGCGGUCCGGGCUUGGCUGGACGCACGCCUCUCGAUUUCAAUGUGGCACGACUCGUGAACACCGCCUACGGUCGUGAAUUCGAGCCCGAGCUGCAUUCACAGUGGGAUCAGUGCGAGAAUGGUAGCAAUCGCAGCGUCGGCCAGGAAGAUGGCACACAGGAGAUAACCAUAACGCCACAACGGGCCGCGGACAUCAAAAUAAAGCUUAUCAACGAGGCGAAGGCCAUGAAUGUGCGAGGCAUUGGUGCCGGCGGGAACAGUGCGACGGAAGAUGUAUCCGUACAGUACGACAUACGCAAACUGCUGCAGAUAUGCAUGCGGACAUCGGAGCCGCAGUCGCGGGUCUUGGAUAUACUGCGCUGCAUGGACCUAAAGGCCAUAUACCAGCGCAGCAGCGAGCAGCAGCUGGAGGAGGACGACGAGUACGACAUGGGCAACCAGCAGGUGCCCAGUGCUGUCACCACAUUCAAGCAUGCAAAUCGCCGCACGCUCAAAUCCUCGCAGCAUCAGCGCUGUGUGGGCCAUGCGCUGCUCGUGGCCAGCAGUGUGGAUGGCUAUUUGUUUCAGUUCUGCGGCCAGGGCAAGUGGUACAGCGAGAACGAAAAGCCGGUGGCCAGCUAUAGUUUUACGGCGCCCGUGCUGCAGGUGCAUUUAAACGAUUAUGUCGUCUAUGCGGUCACCUCGGAGUCUGUGGAAACGCAUACCUCACGCAUCGGCCACAAGCUGUUUCAUAAUCGUUUCGAGUAUCCGAGCAUUGGCGGUCUGUUUCCGGAGGAGUCCUCGCCAGACGUCAGCUCGGCCAUUGCCGUCAUUGGCCUGGCCGCCUUUAUGCAUGUGCAGUUCGUGUGCGUCAACCGGGAGCAGCUCGUCCUAAUCACAAACACAGCGCUCGAGCAGCACAAGCGUCGCAGCACUGGCGAGGUCGCCGUGGUAGCAGUUAAGCGCAACAUUGCGGCCAGGUUCUUGGCCGAGGCAAAGGCCAAGCACAACAGCUUGCUGAGAAGCAGCAGUGCUGUCCAGUCCUCGGUGGUUAACGAGUGGACGCUGUAUAAUCUGGAGGUGCCCAAGGUGGAGCACAUUGUCGAGGAUCUCGAAGGCAUUGCCGAAUCGUAUCGCAGCGCAAGCAGCUCCAACUUUUAUGAUCUCAUGGAGGAGGCGCAUGUCAUGCUUAGACUCAGCCUCACACUGCAGGGCGAGCGUUUUGGCGUGGACAGGGAACAGGAGUUGCGAAAAAUGUUUAUCGCCAAUUGUCGAAAAUUGGCCGACUUUUCAAUACGCUCCCAUAAACAAGAGGUUUAUUUGCAAGCAACUGGUUUCUACAAGAUGUGCCAGCUGCAAUUGGUGGACAUUUACAACAACUAUAUUCAGGAGUUUAUGGACAGCGAACAGGCUGUGGAAACAGCGCAGCUGGCUGGACUCAUCUAUACCGUUAAACUGUUUCUGCUUGGCCUGGGCACAGAUCGUCUGAGGUCUUCGUUUCUACACCAGACCGUGGCACCGUACUUUACACCCGCCCGGGUGCUACAGCAGGGCUAUAAGCAGGUGCCGCUCUCGCUGGAGUUUCUCAACAUGUUCAUUAAACAUGCUCCUGCGGAUAUACCACAGAUAAUGCUUAGCUCGCCGGUGGUAGCCGAUGCCAUGAGCGGAGAGUUAAUCAACUAUCUGAAAUACUUGACGACGCUCACACCCGAUGAGACUCUUCUGUUGGCUGUAACUGCAUGUCGCAUGUCCAACUAUUUGCUGGCCCAGGAAAUAAUAUCCAAGUGCACGCGUCGCACUUUGGCCGUGGCGCUGAUCAAGCACAAGAACGUGCUCUUCGAUGACAGCACAGUGCUCUAUCAGCGGCGACAGCAACCGGAGCAGCAGCAGUCCCAGCUCACGGCUCGUAAACGUUCCCGUCGCGGCGCCACACAAACGAAGGGCAAGUCUUCAGGUGGCUGCGCAGCGACGCCCACGCUCAGUGCCAUUAUUUCGUUCUCGGAUUUCUGUGAGACCAUUCUGCUGGCCAAUGAGCAGCCCGCACUGAUCGAAGCCAUAAGCGAUGCGUUCAUUCACGCCCUGUGCAUUGAGCAUAGCAUUAAGCUGGAUGUGGUGCUACAGCUGUUCCUCAACUAUAUCGCCUCGCAUAUUGGCCAGAAGGGCUAUCAGACCUCGCAGAAGGUCUUUGUCAACAUAUUGCAAGUGUACUAUUAUGAUCUGUACGAUGUGAGCUCUUCGCUGCAGCCGCAUGAGGUGCGCUCGCAAACGCCGCCUCAGCUGGACGAUGACUACGAUGAUGAAUGCAGCAGCUCGCGAGCACCCUCUCUGCACAGUGAGGCGGAUGUCCAAUCUUUGUCUAGCUCUUGCGCCAGCUCCGCGCCCGAUGAGCGUUCGUUAAGUGGCCGCCAGCAGCGCAUUGUGUACGAUCAGUUGCAGGAUCAACAGGGCGGAUCGCCCUUUCAAAAGCGUAGCUCUAACGCUUCACUUUCGCAGCCGCAACCCGACGACGAUGUGGCUGCCACAAAUCUGAAGGGCCUGAAAAUACUCUUUCGCAUGUAUAUGGGCCGCUUAAAGGCUCUGAGCGAUCUCAUUACCGAUCUGCAAUCCGCCGAUGUCGAACAGCAAAGCGGCCGCGAGGAAUUCUUGAAUCUGCGAAUGGAAUGCAUUGCAUAUAUGGUUGGCAUGGCGCCUAAUUACUGCAGCAAGCCGAGCGUACGCCAGGCGAGCGAACCAAAUCAAUCAAACAAGCUAAUCUUUGUACCAUACAUUCCCGACUAUAAACUGGCCGAGGGCGAGGAAUUUGAACAGCAUAUCAAAGCCUAUAUACGACCCAUACCAUGCUUGCUGGAACGACCCCAAUACUUGAACCGUUUACCACCUUUUGAGCGCAGCGAUUUUAGUUAUCCCAAAAAGGACGAAGGCGAGUUCGAGGUGCGCUUCACAGGCUGGCACAACGAGCUCUUGACGCUGACGCUUAAGAUUCAAAGUCUACUGGCCUCCAGCAAGGUGGAUCGGGAGAUUAUUUCAGAGUUUUUGGCUUUCAUACAGAAAUCGCCCCACUUAAUGGGCAUAGAUAGCUUCUUGGUCAUAAUAUUGCCUAAAAAUUUGGCUAUCAAUUAUAUGUUGAGUUUUUGUCCUGCCUUCCUGUGGCAGUAUGGCAAGUCCUGUGGAUUUACGCCCAAGCAUUGGGAGUCUUUGCUGCGCAAGAUACUUAGCAAGCAGGAAGCGCUGCCCAAUUGGAAGACACAUAUUGCAGAAAUACUCAACAAUCUGGUAGCGGAGCUGAGCUUCGAGGAGCUGCUGCAAUGCUUUCCCAGCGAGGUCAUACAAAACCGUAAUACAGCACAAUACUUUGCCAAGGAAUUUGCCGAAACAUGCGUAUUGUACGAGCACGAACAAUUGGUGUUCCAGACACCCGAACAGCCAGCGGACAGCCGCCAGCAUUUGCCCAUGGACAACAUUGAUGAGGACAAUGUGUUUGAGCUGACAUUGCGUAAGGCUGUGGCCAAACAGCGCAGCAUUGCGCUGCGCUCCAUGAUUGAGUCGACGGGCACUCAGCUGUUCGAUGCCACCAGCAAUCCUAUGUAUAAUCUGUAAACAGUCCGGAUUGCGGUCUAGAUUGUUUGGAUCAUUCCUCUUUUAACUAGUUGAAAACUUAUCAUAUUGCAAAUUCAGAAGAUUGAUUGAUAUUAACUAGAGGUUUAGAACAGAACGUUGUAGUUGCGGUCGACUGUCGCAACUUUAUACUGUAUCAGUUUAUUAAUUUAUAUAUAUAUAUAUAUAGCACUAUAUAUACGUAGUUAUAUGAGUUUAGUUAUGGCAGCCUCUCUAGCGAGGUACUAUUUAUUGAUAUUUUUUGUUAGACACAAACGCAACAUUUCGAUUGGUAUUUAUAAUUGUGGUUUUUAAAAAAAAGAUUUACGACUAACUUUUGUAGGUUGUAUAUUAAAAGUAGGCACUUUUAUGCAGUAUUCGCUAGUAGCACGCCUGAAACCAGUUAAACGGCAGAAAAAUAAAUAAAUGAAAAAUAACAAAAAAGAAAACAAAACAAAACUGUUAUUAAGAAGAAACUCUUGAGUAAAUUGCUUGUUCUCUGGCACUUGCUUUACGUACAUUCUAAGUUCUCAGUUCGACUGGUGAGUUCGUUAGCUCCGCACUUCUGCUAGAACUGCAUUGAAGCUAAGCUCAGCUGAGCUGCAGUGCCUAAAAUAUUUGUAGC
rnacentral:misc_RNA from 1 species